rnacentral:rRNA from 1 species
AACGAACGCUGGCGGCAUGCCUAACACAUGCAAGUCGAACGAGACCUUCGGGUCUAGUGGCGCACGGGUGCGUAACGCGUGGGAACCUGCCCUUAGGUUCGGAAUAACUCCCCGAAAGGGGUGCUAAUACCGGAUAAUGUCUUCGGACCAAAGAUUUAUCGCAUUUGGAUGGGCCCGCGUUGGAUUAGCUAGUUGGUAGGGUAAAAGCCUACCAAGGCGACGAUCCAUAGCUGGUCUGAGAGGAUGAGCAGCCACACUGGGACUGGGACACGGCCCAGACUCCUACGGGAGGCAGCAGUGGGGAAUAUUGGACAAUGGGCGAAAGCCUGAUCCAGCAAUGCCGCGUGAGUGAUGAAGGCCUGAGGGUUGUAAAGCUCUUUUACCCGGGAUGAUAAUGACAGUACCGGGAGAAUAAGCUCCGGCUAACUCCGUG